AGUCAGAUUGCUAAGACAGCUAGGAUGUUGGCUUGGAAGCAGCCAUUCAUUUAAAGAGUGCGUAACAGCUCACUAGUCGAGGAAUUUGGCGUGGAUAAUAAUCGGGUAUCAAGUUGUCUGCCGAAGCUAUGGAAUCAUUAAUGAUUGGUAGGGGAGCAUUCCAUUCUGCGUCGAAGGCGUGGCGCGAGCCACUCUGGAGCGUAUGGAAAAGCAAAUGUAGGUAUAAGUAACGAUAAAGGGGGCGGGAAACCCC
rnacentral:rRNA from 1 species